rnacentral:lncRNA from 1 species
CGGGCUGCCUAGUAGUGCGUAGUAAUUCACAUAGUCGAAGUGAUUUUUAACCUGUAAUAUAUUGUUUUCUUGUUCCUGUGUUUCUGGAUGUGCUUUAUUUGGAUAUUAUAUCACAUUAAAUAAUCUUGACUCAAGGGGCUCUAGAGCUGAGUAUAUGGUUUAAAUUUUAACCCGAUACUUCUACGCGUUCCCGAGACAGAUGGCAGACGGUUGGAUGGACAACAAAGUGAUCUUAUAAGAGUUUCUGUUGAGGUAUGGAACCCUAAAUAUGGACACAAUUUAACUGAAUACAGUUGCUGUGGUUUGUAGAGUACAGUGUUUAAAAGUCCAAUUUUCAUUGCAACCAAGAAUUAAGAGUCCAACAAAGACAAUUUUGAGUGAUUUAAUCAACAUACGGCGUCAUUAUCAUGGUGAAGUUUCUACAAGAAAAUCAACGGUGAAAACUUUCCUGGACUAAAUAACUGUGCUUUUGGGUAAACGUGUGGACUCAUCAUUUCCUGUUGACUUCACAGCCCAUCGGAGACCACUUUAGCAGCAGUUUGGCAAACACAGGAAUUGAUUAAUUGUAAGGAGGAAUUCUGGACUGGUUCUUGGACUUCUAAAGCUUGAACCUCUUCGUUAUGGUACUAGCUGAAAAAGAGAACAGAAUUAGACAGAUAGAAGCUGCAAUUUGUGAUUGUGCAGUUGAUAAGAAAUAAACUCAAAUUCGACAAACAAUAAGGAAAUAAUGGUGAAAGAUGGAAGAGGUGAAGAAACAAAUAAUUUCACACACAUAUAUACACACAGAGAGAAGAAAAAUGCCAACUGAACCUGAUAAAGCUCAUGUUUCGUUAGAAAUAUGUAAUCAUUCAGAUUUUUAAUUAUAUUAUUGUUUAACAGAACGAAUUAAAUUAAAUUCUAAUGUAAGUUUAAAUUUGCUCUGUAUCAGUGUUAUUGUUUUU